rnacentral:tRNA from 1 species
GUAUUGGUGGUACAGUGGUAGAAUUUUCUCCUUCCAUGUGGGAGACCGAAGUUUGAUUCCCCGCCAAUGCA